rnacentral:tRNA from 1 species
AGUUAGCGUAGCAAAGCUUGGCAAUGCAAAAGAUCUAAGCCCUUUUCACAGAGGUUCAAAUCCUCUCGUUAACU